AUGACCGUGGAGGAAAACGACCAGGUCAUUCAAGGCCAAGUGAACGACUUCUUUGAAGCGGUAAGAGCUAAGAAACAUCCACCUCCGGAGGAGAAGAUAGAUCCGGUGAAAGCAAAGCACACUUUGGAUGCCUUGACGCGAGCACCACCGCCUCCACCGCAAUCCAACUAUGACCGCAUUAUUGAAAGGACAUAUAAGGAAGCGGAGCGGUCGGGAAGUACUUGCACUGAUCAAAGGUUAGCAGAACGAAGAAGAGGGAAACAAAUUCCCCAGCUCAGCGAACAAGCAAAGCAAUCAUGCCCCCCGCUCAAUGUGUCUAGCGAUAUCGUCGCUAAUCUUUCGGGGAUGCUGCCCGGUACCAAUCCUGGAGAUUACAUGCCCGAUGAUGUACUUUUUGAUACAAUGGAGGUGGACACAUUAAAACUCCGGCAUGGGAAGCCUCUCGUAAAACCUGGUACUCCUCUAACAACGAUGAUGUGA
rnacentral:rRNA from 1 species